UACGUAGGCAGCAAGCGUUGUUCGGAGUUACUGGGCGUAAAGAGUGCGUAGGCGGUUUCGUAAGUUUGGUGUGAAAUCUCCCGGCUUAACUGGGAGGGUGCGCCGAAAACUGCGGGGCUGGAGUAGGGGAGAGGUAAGCGGAAUUCCUGGUGUAGCGGUGAAAUGCGUAGAGAUCGGAAAGAACACCAACGGCGAAAGCACUCUGCUGGGCCGACACUGACACUGAGAGACGAAAGCUAGGGGAGCGAAUGGG
rnacentral:rRNA from 1 species